rnacentral:rRNA from 1 species
CCUACGGGAGGCAGCAGCGAGGAAUAUUGGUCAAUGGACGAGAGUCUGAACCAGCCAAGUAGCGUGAAGGAUGACUGCCCUAUGGGUUGUAAACUUCUUUUAUAUGGGAAUAAAAUGUUCCACGUGUGGGAUUUUGUAUGUACCAUAUGAAUAAGGAUCGGCUAACUCCGUGCCAGCCGCCGCGGUAAUACGGAGGAUCCGAGCGUUAUCCGGAUUUAUUGGGGUUAAAGGGAGCGUAGGUGGAUUGUUAAGGCAGUUGUGAAAGUUUGCGGCUCAACCGUAAAAUUGCAGUUGAAACUGGCAGUCUUGAGUACAGUAGAGGUGGGCGGAAUUCGUGGUGUAGCGGUGAAAUGCUUAGAUAUCACGAAGAACUCCGAUUGCGAAGGCAGCUCACUGGACUGCAACUGACACUGAGGCUCGAAAGUGUGGGUAUCAAACAGGAUUAGAUACCCGGGUAGUC